rnacentral:rRNA from 1 species
AUGGACCAAUCCAUCCCUUUUUCCCGUGCAUAUGCAUCGGACUCGGAUGACGAUGGUCCCGAUGAAGAAGUUGAUGAGGAGGGGUUCACGCCGAAGGAGGCCCAAGCAUUCAAGAAGGUAUUCGGGAAGGACCACAAGACACCAUUGUUCAAGGAUCUUAGUCUCGCGGAUGAAGCCGUUGUGGAUGGUGGCAAAUGCAUAUCUCUUGGAGCUAGGCCAAGUUCUCACCGUGAUUUGGAAGACAGCAAGAAUGGGAUAUAUCCCGGUUGUGAGUUUGAAUCCUUCUUGGAAUUGAAGAUGUGGCUUGACAACUAUUCGGUUACACAUUAUCGUCCACAUAAAGUGGCCAACUCGGACGUCAAUGUGCGUUACACGGUCAAAUGUGAAGUGCCAAGAUGUCCAUGGAUUGUGCGUGCGAGGCCAUGGAAAGGAGGUCCCACUUGA